AAAUUGAAGAGUUUGAUCAUGGCUCAGAUUGAACGCUGGCGGCAGGCCUAACACAUGCAAGUCGAACGGUAACAGAAAUCAGCUUGCUGAUUUGCUGACGAGUGGCGGACGGGUGAGUAAUGUCUGGGAAACUGCCUGAUGGAGGGGGAUAACUACUGGAAACGGUAGCUAAUACCGCAUAA
rnacentral:rRNA from 1 species